CUAAUAAUCAUGGUUCAUGACGGUAUCAACAGAAGAAGCACCGGCUAACUCCGUGCCAGCAGCCGCGGUAAUACGGAGGGUGCAAGCGUUAAUCGGAAUUACUGGGCGUAAAGCGUGCGUAGGCGGUUCGUUAAGUCAGAUGUGAAAGCCCCGGGCUUAACCUGGGAACUGCAUUUGAAACUGGCGGACUUGAGUUGAGUAGAGGGGAGUGGAAUUUCAGGUGUAGCGGUGAAAUGCGUAGAUAUCUGAAGGAACACCAGUGGCGAAGGCGACUCCCUGGACUCAAACUGACGCUGAGGUACGAAAGCGUGGGUAGCAAACAGGAUUAGAUACCCUGGUAGUCCACGCUGUAAACGAUGUCAACUAGCCGUUGGUCCUAUUUACAGGAUUAGUGGCGCAGCUAACGCAUUAAGUUGACCGCCUGGGGAGUACGG
rnacentral:rRNA from 1 species